rnacentral:rRNA from 1 species
GAGGAAUAUUGGUCAAUGGACGCAAGUCUGAACCAGCCAUGCCGCGUGGAGGAUGACAGCCUUCUGGGUUGUAAACUUCUUUUAUAUGGGAAGAAAAGCGUGGUUUCUACUGCGUCCGACGGUACCAUAUGAAUAAGCACCGGCUAACUCCGUGCCAGCAGCCGCGGUAAUACGGAGGGUGCAAGCGUUAUCCGGAUUUACUGGGUUUAAAGGGUGUGUAGGCGGAUAUUUAAGUCAGAGGUGAAAUCUCCGGGCUCAACCCGGAAACUGCCUUUGAUACUAUUUAUCUUGAAUUUCGUUGAGGUUGGCGGAAUAUAUCAUGUAGCGGUGAAAUGCAUAGAUAUGAUAUAGAACACCGAUUGCGUAGGCAGCUGGCUGAACGAACAUUGACGCUGAGGCACGAAAGCGUGGGUAGCGAAC